UGGGGAAUAUUGCACAAUGGGCGAAAGCCUGAUGCAGCAACGCCGCGUGAGUGAUGAAGGUCUUCGGAUUGUAAAGCUCUGUCUUUUGGGACGAUAAUGACGGUACCAAAGGAGGAAGCCACGGCUAACUACGUGCCAGCAGCCGCGGUAAUACGUAGGUGGCGAGCGUUGUCCGGAUUUACUGGGCGUAAAGGGUGCGUAGGCGGAUGUUUAAGUGAGAUGUGAAAUACCCGGGCUUAACUUGGGUGCUGCAUUUCAAACUGGAUAUCUAGAGUGCAGGAGAGGAGAAUGGAAUUCCUAGUGUAGCGGUGAAAUGCGUAGAGAUUAGGAAGAACACCAGUGGCGAAGGCGAUUCUCUGGACUGUAGCUGACGCUGAGGCACGAAAGCGUGGGUAGCAAACAGGAUUAGAUACCCUGGUAGUCCACGCCGUAAACGAUGAGUACUAGGUGUAGGAGGUAUCGACCCCUUCUGUGCCGCAGUAAACACAUUAAGUACUCCGCCUGGGAAGUACGAUCGCAAGAUUAAAACUCUAAAGUGAAUUGAC
rnacentral:rRNA from 1 species